AUGUACCGACGUACACUCCGGUUCCUCCGCGCCGUCCGCAUCCACCUGACGACUGCUCGCGACGUUUUGUCAGCC
rnacentral:sRNA from 3 species